rnacentral:misc_RNA from 1 species
UGCGCCUUGCGCCUAGGCUCCAGGCCCUUGGCGCCUUAGUUCACCUUGAGCUUUUAAUUACUGUGAUUUUGUUUCAGAUUCUACAUGGAAUAAUCAGAAUAUAUCAUAAUAAAUGGCCAUUGCAUUCUGUUAUUUUGGAGGAUUACCAUUCUGGACAUUAACUCUCCUCGUUUUAUUCUGUUUUUAACUGUGUGUUAAUGUAAUUCAACUAGAAGGGGCUUUACUUCACUGAAUCAUUACUUUAGCUAUGUUAUACAUAGUUCUAGUUUCAUUUUGAAGAUGAAAGUGGGUCCUUUUGGAAAGGGAGUUCCUUGAAAUAGAUGCAGUUGCAGAAAAUAUAAGAAUAUAUGGGAAAAUUUGAGAAGUAUUCUUUUUAAGCAAGCAAUGACAAAGAAAAAAAAAGGUCAUUACUGGUGAUUAUCUACUCUGGUCUUGCUGGAAUUUUGUGGAAAAAUUUAGAGAGAGCCUAAGCUUUUGCAGUAUUUGAGUGGAUGGUGGAUACUUUUUUAAAUGCAUAAAAAAAUGUUACUCUUUGGAGACAAAGACGCAUAUAGGUCUAGAGAAUAUUUUAAGAUGCAUGUUUUCAAGGUUGAUUUGACUUUUUGAUGGAUUUAGUUAGUCUUUGACCUAUUAUUGGAAUACAAUAUGUCAAACUUUCUUUGAGAAUUUACUGGACAAGAAUAGUUGGUAUUAAAAUUAUGAAACUUAACUGCUGCUAGAAAGUUAGCUGGGAUUGAUCAAGCAGUAAGGUAUGGAAAUAACUUUAAUUGUGGAAGAAAGGUUUCUUAUAUUUGACAUGGAAUUUGACCAAAUAGAGUUCAGUUUGUCUGCAUGAAUAAGCUUGGUAAUGUCCAUGCUUAUGGAGCAUAGGUCAUGCUCCUGAUUGCUUAAGUUCAAUUCAACUGCAACAUAGUGAACUUUAAUAGUCUAGUGCUUCUCUUUCUUGGCUCACUUUUGUGUAGCACAUUUCUUUAAGGUAGGAAAUAACUUCUUAGAUGUCAUUUUAUUUUCUAUUAAGCCUCAUUGUUCACAUCUUAUUUUUUCUGAAGCUAUGACAUGGUGGAAAUGACUAAUAUGUGUUCUGCUCUAUGGUUAUAAUGACUUUUUAGUUGGAAAUAAAUUCAGGAUUAUAUUCUCCUUUUGACCAAGAUCAGAUUUGAUUAGAAUGUUGUCUUCCUUUUCUUUUAGUGAAUGAAUUUUUAUUCCUUUCCUGGAGAUUUUCUUAAGUGGAAUAUUGCAACUAUGGAAGCAUGAUGUGUGGUUUUUCCAACUCAUUUCAAUUUUGGAAGCUUCAAGCUUUUAUUACUCAUGUCAUUUAGUGAUAUUUGAUUGGCAAUAAUUACCUACUCUAAUAGGUAAAAUUUUAAAUGCUUUUGGGAUUAAUAUAGGUUUUAUGUUAUGGUUUAUUUACUGAAUUCAAAUGCAAUUCACUCGAUCUAUGUUGGGUGAGCAUAUUGUACAUAUCGAUAUUGGUAGUAUUUUGUUUACUAAUCACUACACUGUUUCUCUGGAGGUCCUUUUAGGCCUUCUAAUCAAUUUCCUACUUUUUUAAGUCUAAUUUGGUGAUAUGGGCCUGGACGUCAUCUAUAUUUUAGAAUGUGUAUCUCAUUUGUCGCUCUUUUUAGAGCCUUUAAGGAGUCUUGAGGGCAGUGUCAUAUUUGAUAGCUGCUUUAAGCUGGAAGACGGUGAAAUAUAUCAAGAAUAAAUUUAAGUUGGAAUUUAAAGUAUUUGAGAAUUGGGAUUGAAGAAGAAGAAGACUAUUCUACUAGAAAAUGGUGGUAUAAAUAGUUGCAGGUAAAGGGUGAACUUUCUGGGAAGUAGAUUUGGAGGAAAUCCUGUCUUGACAAUGAAUUUGAGGAGGUUAUUUUGAAGGAAGAAACUAGCUCGAGGCAGAAAACUAGGUUGAAGUGAUUAAAGAAAGGGAUUAUAGCACUUGGCUAUUCCAUUUGUUUGCUAAUUGUUUGUGGAGUAAGAUUAUCGCGAAUGAAUUGUAAAUUGAUUGGUUGUAUUAUUUUCAUUCCUACUUUUCUAAAAUUUUUAUGUUGAAAUGAUGGAUCUUAGAUAAAGAUAUUUGGGACUGGUGUCCUGUUUUCUGAAAAAGGACUCGAGAUGGUUAGAAAGGCAUUUUAAGGAGGGAGAGAUGAGGACAAUUUUUGGUAAGAUAGGAUAUGAGAAAACCAUUCAAUAGUAUUAGGAUAUUUUAAGGCUAACUUGCUAAAUGUUUUAAGAAUUUUCUGCUAAUGAUGUGGUUAGAACCUAGAACUUGGAAUUUUGUUGCCAUUGAUUCUUGACGGAUUUUCUAUUAAGAUGAAGCAUUUCCAACCUAUUAGUAUAGAGAGUAGCAUCUAUUAAAUUGUUUAUGAUGUCUUGUACGAUAAAUUGAUUGUCAUUCUAGAUGACACUAUGCCAACCGAAGUGUUUUUAUUGAAGGAAGGCAAUUUAGGGAUGAUGGUUUGGCAGUUGAUGAAGGUAUAAAAUUUUAAUGAUGUUGGGAUUAAACAUAGGAAGGUUAGUGCUAUUAAAUUGAAUUUUGAAACGGCUAUGAGCCUAUGAUUGUGAAAAUAAAACCCUCCUGAUGGGAUUAUGGAUAAGAAGAGAUUUGAAAUUGUAAGAAAUAGAUUAGUUAUGUAUCUUCUGAGGAAAGCUAGGUUUCUAGGGCGACUUUGGAGGCAUUUUUGACAACCAGUUUAGGUAUAGUGCAAGGAUGAAAGGCAGAGUUAAGGCUAGCUCACUCUCUCUCUCUCUAUUUCUAGUGUCAAUUGGAGGAGGAUGACUCUCCUGAUUUUAUUCUCUCCAUAUCUAACUAAUAAUUUCUUCUAUCAAAUGUAAAAAAGAAGCGGUGAGGUGUGGGGUAGGGCUGGAGAAGUAAUACUGAAAAGGAAGAAAAUUGUAGAGCUCUUCUAUAAAUGGGUUCUUCAUGUUUGCUUCUCCAUUUAUUUAUUAACAAGACAUUGUAUUUUAAUUCUUAAACAAUAUUUGCUUGGGAUGGCAGGCUUGUGCAAUAUACAACAAUUGGUGGCCUAUGCUAUCAGGUUUGGACUGUUUGGUAUUGGCAUAUUCGACUUGUAUGCUACAAUUUCACAUUUCAGAAUUCAGAGUGAUGGUGUAAAUCUGUUGUCUAACAGCUCUCAUGUAUGUGUUGGUGCCUAUGCCUUGUUUAUUCUUUGGAGGGGGGUCCACUCAGUUUCUGAUCAGCCGGGAUGGUGGGGGGUGAGUACCUAAUCAUAGCCUCUGGUAUUGUAAAAUAUUUCCUAUAAGGCUGUUUUUGUUAAUUACUUUAUAUACGUGUUCAUUUGUAGAUACACAUGCAAAAGAGUUGGUAUUGGGUUUGUCUCAUAUCUUUUAUGGUAACUUGCAGCUUUACAGAUAAUUUUCACCAUUUUCUUCGUAAGCCAAAGCACAUCUCAUCUAGUAUUUCAUUCCAGGAAAUUUUACUAUCAGAUCUUGUUGUGAUUACUGAUUUGACUGUCAUUACUUUUAAGUAUUUCACCUGUGAAUGCAUUGAUGUUCAAUUUGGAUUGUGGAAUUUGAAAUGUAGAGAUUUGGCUUGGAUAAUUAGUAGGCUCUUUUUGACUGGUUGUAUUCAUGAUUGUAGAUCAGCUCAUCUCAACUUGACCUUGAUUAAUUGGUUUGGUUUUGCUAUAUGUAGAUCCAUGAAUCGAACAAAUAUUAUUGUGUUGACUGAUUUGACUGAGCAAUAUUUGAAAUACUUAAUGUGCAAAUGCAGUGAUUGACACAUUUGGGUCAGGGGAUUUGAAAUGCACAUAUGGGUUUGAUAAUUAAUAAGCUCUUUUUGACUUGUCAGAUUCAUGAAUAUAGAGAAAUCCAACUCAACUAGGCCUCAAUUUCAAAUUAGUUGGGUUCGGCUGUAUAUACAUUCAUUAAUGCACAUGUGUAAAAGUUUUUGAAAUGCUUAUAUUUUGAAAUUCUUAUAAAAAGUGUAAUUUGAAAUUCUACUUAAAUUCUCCUAAAAAAAUUAAACUGUUCAAAUUGGUCUUCAUUGAAAUUUAUAAUUGAAAACAUAUUUAUGAAUCUAAUAAACUAAAGAAUGUAUUUUGAAUGUCAUGUAAACAAUUUAAACCAAAAGCUUAUGUCCAGAUCCUGCUGUUUGAAUUACUUCCAUCCAAAUACAACAUGACUGAAUAUUUGGUAUGUAAAAGUGUCUUUUCCAAAAGUUUAUUCGCUUCAUUAUGCUUGAAAAUUUAUUUUCCUAUGAAGCUCCGUGUGUUUCACGGAGAACAUCUUCCUAGAAAAUACUUUCCAUAUUUUCCAUUGUUUGGGAGUACAAAAGAAAAUAAGGGAGAGGAAAACAACUUUCCGUGUUUUCUGUGACUUUUUUUCCUCGAUUUUCUAUUUCACUUGCCUUUAUUUUCUUUUCUACUUUGUUUUUCUUUUCACAAUAUGUUUUUUAAUAAAUGAGACAAAAUUUUCUGUUUUAUAUGAAAAUUUUGACAAGAUAUUAAUUUUUUUUAUUAUUCAUGUUGAACAACAACAAAUGAAAAUAUUUUGUACAGAAAAGUUUUUUUCCUGUGAGACAAUAGAGCCAAGUUUGAAAAAUUUUGUGUAUACACCACACAUGUAUAGGGAUAAAGUUUUUCUUUCUUUUCUUUUGGUUGGGGGGAGUUGUGGAGGUGGACUAACUAUCAGAAGAAAGAAUCCCUUGAUUUUUAUAUCUUGCCAUCCAAAUGCAACGUUAUAAUUUUUAUUUUUUGAAAAUUUUAAUGUUGCAGUUGGAUAGAUGCUGCAAAAUUCCUUUCAGGGGCGUCAGCUGUUGGGAGCAUAUCAUCCUUGGGCAUGCUCAUAUGAUUGAAACAGGUGCUAUGUUGAUCGAGUUCACAUCAUUCUUCAUAUUUGUUUGCACAGUCUUGUGUUUUCAUCGCGCCAGUCUUGAGGAUGAUUGGUGAUUGAUUGAUUGAUACAGCACUUGCCAAAUUCUGAUGCACGUGACUUGUAUGCUUUUGUUGAGAGGAAAAAUUAUGACCAAAUUAAUGAUAUAAACAUGGGAAAAGAAGAAGCAGGAUUUUCCCAUCUUGUAAAUUCCUUUUGUGUAAAUCUUCCAAAGGAAAGCAUGGGUUUACAGUAUUUUGCUUUGCUAUUCUUCUAUCCUGUUUGAUUUCUUCUAUUUUGGAAAGUACGCCUGAUUAUUUUGUAACUGUUGCUGGCAAGUUCAUUUGCCAUUUUAUAUAGAUAUAAUUUUUUUUUUUU